rnacentral:snRNA from 1 species
GUGCUCGCUUCGGCAGCACAUAUACUAAAAUUGGAACGAUAAAGAGAAGAUUAGCAUGGCCCCCCGCGCAAGGAUGGCACGCAAAUUCGCGAAGAAUUCUUCAUUUUU